rnacentral:rRNA from 1 species
CAGUCGCCGCGGGAAUACAGAGGGUGCGAGCGUUAAUCGGAUUUACUGGGCGUAAAGCGUGCGUAGGCGGCUUCCUAAGUCGGAUGUGAAAUCCCUGAGCUUAACUUAGGAAUUGCAUUCGAUACUGGGAAGCUAGAGUAUGGGAGAGGAUGGUAUAAUUCCAGGUGUAGCGGUGAAAUGCGUAGAGAUCUGGAGGAAUACCGAUGGCGAAGGCAGCCAUCUGGCCUAAUACUGACGCUGAGGUACGAAAGCAUGGGGAGCAAACAGGAUUAGAUACCCCCGUAGUCCCUGUCUCUUAUAC